UACUGAAGAGGGCUACAUAGUUUUAUAAAGUUUAGAAAACUAUGUAGCCCUCUUCAGUA
rnacentral:pre_miRNA from 1 species